rnacentral:rRNA from 2 species
CUGAGAGGAUGACCAGCCACACUGGAACUGAGACACGGUCCAGACUCCUACGGGAGGCAGCAGUGGGGAAUAUUGCACAAUGGGCGCAAGCCUGAUGCAGCCAUGCCGCGUGUAUGAAGAAGGCCUUCGGGUUGUAAAGUACUUUCAGCGGGGAGGAAGGGAGUAAAGUUAAUACCUUUGCUCAUUGACGUUACCCGCAGAAGAAGCACCGGCUAACUCCGUGCCAGCAGCCGCGGUAAUACGGAGGGUGCAAGCGUUAAUCGGAAUUACUGGGCGUAAAGCGCACGCAGGCGGUUUGUUAAGUCAGAUGUGAAAUCCCCGGGCUCAACCUGGGAACUGCAUCUGAUACUGGCAAGCUUGAGUCUCGUAGAGGGGGGUAGAAUUCCAGGUGUAGCGGUGAAAUGCGUAGAGAUCUGGAGGAAUACCGGU